rnacentral:rRNA from 1 species
UUCUGACCGUAAACGAUGCCAACUAGCGAUCCGCCGGUGGAUUUUUAGCCCUGGUGGGUAGCUUCCCGGAAACGAAAGUCUUCCGGUUCCGGGGGAAGUAUGGUUGCAAAGCUGAAACUUAAAGGAAUUGACGGAAGGGCACCACCAGGAGUGGAGCCUGCGGCUUAAUUUGACUCAACACGGGGAAACUCACCCGGCCCGGACACCGUAAGGAUUGACAGAUUGAUAGCUCUUUCAUGAUUCGGUGGUUGGUGGUGCAUGGCCGUUCUUAGUUCGUGGAUCGAUUUGUCUGGUUUAUUCCGAUAACGAGCGAGACUCUAGCCUACUAAAUAGUAACGAGAUUAUCAAUGUCUCAGUUGCUUCUUAGAGGGAUUUUCGGUGUUUAGCCGCACGAGAUUGAGCAAUAACAGGUCUGUGAUGCCCUUAGAUGUCCGGGGCUGCACGCGCGCUACACUGGCGAAAUCAGCGUGCUGUAUCCAUUCUCGAAAGGGAUUGGUAAACCCAUGAAAAUUUGCCGUGCUUGGGAUCGGAAAUUGCAAUUAUUUUCCGUGAACGAGGAAUUCCAAUG